UGGGGAAUAUUGCACAAUGGGGGAAACCCUGAUGCAGCGACGCCGCGUGAACGAAGAAGGUAUUCGUAUCGUAAAGUUCUGUCCUAUGGGAAGAUAAUGACAGUACCAUAGAAGAAAGCUCCGGCUAAAUACGUGCCAGCAGCCGCGGUAAUACGUAUGGAGCGAGCGUUGUCCGGAAUUAUUGGGCGUAAAGGGUACGCAGGCGGUUUAAUAAGUCGAAUGUUAAAGAUCGGGGCUCAACCCCGCAAAGCAUUGGAAACUGAUAAACUUGAGUAGUGGAGAGGAAAGUGGAAUUCCUAGUGUAGUGGUGAAAUACGUGGAUAUUAGGAGGAAUACCAGUAGCGAAGGCGACUUUCUGGACACAAACUGACGCUGAGGUACGAAAGCGUGGGGAGCAAACAGG
rnacentral:rRNA from 1 species